UUACAGUUUCCGAAAACCAAACGUGCACAUUAACGCCAUCCAUAAGCAUUCACAAAGCUUAUAUUUUGUGCUCGGUUUCAAGUCGCGCAUGACAUCUUUCCUUAAUAGGAUGUUACUCUGCAAUCGACGCAUGUACGUCGAGCCCAAUUAUCCGCGCCGAUAUGUCGUGGAUAAACCUAGCGCAACCACGCGGUCAGAUAACACUUAGGACACAUAGCUGAUUCAAAGAUGGUGAGCGUGUUUCCUUGCCCAGGCAUGAUCUUCCCUUGCGUGCACAACCCUUGCUUGCAAAGCCCCAAAUCGGAGCCCAAAAUGACUCUGCAAACUUUACCCAAGACCAUUAGCUUGAUUUGAAUGGCUUAAGGAAACACGUUACAUCUUUGCGUGAAUCUGUAAGCCGCUCUACUCGUUUCACUGUCUUGCUUAAUAAUUACUUGUGGCGGCCCUUAAACUGGAAAGACUCCAGCAGAACUGUCGACGACACCAUCAGCACCAGCACCCAGCCACGUACCGACCAUGCAUCCCGGCAGGGUGAACUGCUCCCCC
rnacentral:lncRNA from 1 species